CAGUCGCCGCGGGAAUACGGAGGGUGCUAGCGUUGUUCGGAAUCACUGGGCGUAAAGGGCGCGUAGGCGGCCUGUUAAGUCGGAUGUGAAAGCCCGGGGCUCAACCCCGGAACUGCAUCCGAGACUGGCAGGCUUGAGACCGGGAGAGGAGGGUGGAAUAUCCAGUGUAGAGGUGAAAUUCGUAGAUAUUGGAUGGAACACCGGUGGCGAAAGCGGCUCUCUGGCCCGGAUCUGACGCUGAGGCGCGAAAGCGUGGGGAGCAAACAGGAUUAGAUACCCCCGUAGUCCCUGUCUCUUAUAC
rnacentral:rRNA from 1 species